ensembl:snRNA U2 U2 spliceosomal RNA
UUUGCUUCUCAGCCUUUUGGCUAAGAUCAAGUGUAGUAUCUGUUCUUAUCAGUUUAAUGAGUCUUUGGUAGCUCAAAGAAUCUUAGGUGAAACACACUGCCUUCUGUACAACAGGUAUUUUCUUCCUUGCAUUCUCUUACACUGUUCACUUUCUACCAUAAAUACAGGACACUAU